rnacentral:rRNA from 1 species
AGUGAACGCUGGCGGUAGGCCUAACACAUGCAAGUCAAACGGCAGCCCAGUAAGGGCUUGCUCUUCCGGGUGCCGGGUGGCGGCCGGGUGAGGAAUACAUCGGAAUCUACUUUUUCGUGGGGGAUAACGUAGGGAAACUUACGCUAAUACCGCAUCCGCCCUACGGGUGAAAGCAGGGGAUCUUCGACCCUGGCGCGAUUGAAUGAGCCGAUGUCGGAUUAGCUAGUUGGCGGGGUAAAGGCCCACCAAGGCGACGAUCCGUAGCUGGUCUGAGAGGAUGAUCAGCCACACUGGAACUGAGACACGGUCCAGACUCCUACGGGAGGCAGCAGUGGGGAAUAUUGGACAAUGGGCGCAAGCCUGAUCCAGCCAUACCGCGUGGGUGAAGAAGGCCUUCGGGUUGUAAAGCCCUUUUGUUGGGAAAGAAAAGCAGCAGGUUAAUACCCCGCUGUUCUGACGGUACCCAAAGAAUAGGCACCGGCUAACUUCGUG